UAACACAGGUGCUGCAUGGCUGUCGUCAGCUCGUGUCGUGAGAUGUUGGGUUAAGUCCCGCAACGAGCGCAACCCUUGUCAUUAGUUGCUACAUUUAGUUGGGCACUCUAAUGAGACUGCCGGUGACAAACCGGAGGAAGGUGGGGAUGACGUCAAGUCCUCAUGGCCCUUAUAGGUGGGGCUACACACGUCAUACAAUGGCUGGUACAAAGGGUUGCCAACCCGCGAGGGGGAGCUAAUCCCAUAAAGCCAGUCGUAGUCCGGAUCGCAGUCUGCAACUCGACUGCGUGAAGUCGGAAUCGCUAGUAAUCGUGGAUCAGAAUGUCACGGUGAAUACGUUCCCGGGUCUUGUACACACCGCCCGUCACACCAUGGGAGCGGGUUCUGCCAGAAGUAGUUAGCCUAACCGCAAGGAGGGCGAUUACCACGGCAGGGUUCGUGACUGGGGUGAAGUCGUAACAAGGUAACC
rnacentral:rRNA from 1 species